GGGAUUUAAAAAACCCCAGAUAUGCAUGCAUUGCUCAAUGACUAGCUUAUUAAAAAGACCCCACCAAGGAAAAAAGGAAGGAGCCAAGAUGCAGCUCUCCCUAAUUCUGACCAGAGAUGGAUCCGCAGAGUUUUAUUUUAUAAAGCCCUAGGGGAAUCAAAUCUUUGUCUUUUCUACAGAGCUUUAGUUUAUCUCCUGUCCAGCCUUCACACUCGGAAUUUCAUUAACCUACUAUAUACCAGUAGAGAUAUCAGGAAUGGAUUCAGUGCACUUCUGAGGAGAGGUGAACAGUGGACUGUAAACAUCAAUGGAAGUUAGUGACUGACAAGGCAGAUUAUGGCACUUCUGACAGCUGUAGUGUCAUGGAGGAAGCCAGGGCUAGGACUGUCUCCAACUCCAGGCUGUCCAAGUGGUAGGGGCAACACAGAAUUAUGUGUUGUUUGAACAUUGCUGUCAUUUGGCCAUUGACUGUAGCUGUGGUAUGUUGAAAAGUUUCCUCACCUCUCCCAGGCAAAAAAUUUAGCUGAAAAUAUCUGGCUGGGGAAAACCUUCAUCAAGACUUCUACCAUGCAUUGGUCCAACCUUUUCUAUCACGUAACUUCUUGCUUUUUCUAUCUUCUGCAGGAGAGCUUCCCUAAAAUACUUAUUUUUCCUCCUCCAAAUUCCUACAUUAAAUACCUCGUCUUCAAAAUCCUUGUUAGUAAUUAAGUAGAUUGUAUCUUGCUUGGUAUGAUAAUUACCCUUCUCUUAGGUCUCCCUGUUGACUACUGUUCAUCUAUCACCUACUGCCAUCAGCUCAGAUAGAAUUUGGAGUGGUAUGAAGUACCUCAUGCACUGAAGAACCAUCAUUUUGAAGGACCUGCAGGUGCUACCACAAGGCUCCUCGGGAGGGGAAAUCAGGAUAGCACAUCUCAGCAGAUGGGAGCAUAAAUCUGGCUAGGAAGAGAACGCAAGUGAGAAACAUGUUGAGUCAAUCUCCUCCAAAGAUACUCAUUGAAAAUCUUAAGAUACUAGGAUAUACGGAGACCUCUGACAUUCAUCAUUCACACAUGGAGUUGUUCAAACUGAUGAGCACUGGCAAAAGUAAUUCCUGCGUCUUCCUGGCUGCUCAACAAAAUGAGCACAGCUGAUUUCAGGCUACUCUGUAGAAGCAGUACAGAAAACAUUCAUGAUUUCAGGGCUUCCAACACAUGCAUGUUUUUGAUGAAUUGCUAUGAAAGACAGACAACCUUGACUAAUAAACUCAGCUCCUCAUUUUCUGUUCCCUGGUAA
rnacentral:lncRNA from 1 species